rnacentral:misc_RNA from 1 species
GCCUGUUCGAGCGUCAUUACAACCAAUCAAGCCUGGCUUGGUAUUGGGGUUCGCGGUCCCGCGGCCCUUAAAAUCAGUGGCGGUGCCGUCCGGCUCUAAGCGUAGUAAUUUUCUCGCUAUGGUGUCCGGGUGGUUACCUGCCAGAACCCCCCCAUCUCACGGUUGACCUCGGAUCAGGUAGGGAUACCCGCUGAACUUAA